rnacentral:lncRNA from 1 species
UGCAGAUGAUUCCCAAUAUCAACCUCAGGGGCACACACAUACUCUGUCUCUUUCUCCACACACAUUAAGAGAAAAGGGUUGAGCUUAAGUCAUAAAUGAUUUUUCUUGAAGAUAUCGUUUCCUCCUUAAAAAUCAGCACCAACUCAUUCUUCAGCAUUUUCAUCUAGCCUCCAAAGGCACUGCUGCUCUUUAAUCCUUUUAAUUCCAAACUAGGAGGCUACAGACAUUAGGUUUCCCUAAGAACAUAUGAAAAUCAGACUUUUGGGAGAUAGUGUGAAGGUGGAAGGUGAUUUCACAGGUAUUUCAAUACUGCUCACAUGCCUACUUCUCCUUAGCCUUAUCUCACUGCACUGUCAUGCGGCUCUGUGCUUCACUGCAUGCCUAGUUUCCCCUACGGCAUUAACUUGCAGCUUGAAAUCUCCUAUUGAUUCUGAGCCAUCUCUUCCAAGCCUUCAUUUUUAUUUUAUUUUUUUACAAAGCAUUACUUCUUUCACCUCCCUUUCAUUAAAACCUGGCUCUUCCUUGCAUUGCUUUCUCUGUGGUGAUUCUAAAAAAAAAAAAAAAAA